CCUACGGGUGGCAGCAGUGAGGAAUAUUGGUCAAUGGGCGCGAGCCUGAACCAGCCAAGUAGCGUGAAGGAUGACUGCCCUACGGGUUGUAAACUUCUUUUGUAAAGGAGUAACGUGCGGCACGUGUGCCUUUUUGUAUGUACUUUGUGAAUAAAGAUCGGCUAACUCCGUGCCCGCCACCGCGGUAAUACGGAGGAUCCGAUAGUUAUCCGGAUUUAAUGGGUUUAAAGGGAGCGUAGAUGGGUUGUUAAGGCAGUUGUGAAAGUUGGCGGCUCAACCGUAAACUUGCAAUUGAUACUGGCAGUCUUGAGUACAGUUGAGGUAGGCGGAAUGCGUGGUGUAGCGGUGAAAUGCUUAGAUAUCACGAAGAACCCCGAUUGCGAAGGCAGCGUACCAAAUUGCCACUGACAUUGAUGCUCGAAAGCGUGGGUAUCAAACAGGAUUAGAUACCCGGGUAGUC
rnacentral:rRNA from 1 species